rnacentral:rRNA from 1 species
UUCCCAGACUCCUACGGGAGGCAGCAGUGGGGAAUAUUGCACAAUGGGGGAAACCCUGAUGCAGCGACGCCGCGUGAGUGAAGAAGUAUUUCGGUAUGUAAAGCUCUAUCAGCAGGGAAGAAAAAAGACGGUACCUGACUAAGAAGCCCCGACUAACUACGUGCCAGCAGCCGCGGUAAUACGUAGGGGGCAAGCGUUAUCCGGAUUUACUGGGUGUAAAGGGGGCGUAGACGGCGCGGCAAGUCUGAAGUGAAAGGCAGGGGCUUAACCCCUGAACUGCUUUGGAAACUACCGGACUGGAGUGUCGGAGGGGUAAGUGGAAUUCCUAGUGUAGCGGUGAAAUGCGUAGAUAUUAGGAGGAACACCAGUGGCGAAGGCGGCUUACUGGACGAUCACUGACGCUGAGGCUCGAAAGCGUGGGGAGCAAACAGGAUUAGAUACCCCAGUAGG